rnacentral:lncRNA from 1 species
UGCAUGUCUGAGUUAGGGGCUGGGAGCAGCCAGCAGCGCUUGUAGUGUCUGUCUGGUGGGAACCCCGAGAACACUGGGCGCCUACAAUUCUGAGCAGCUGGCUUUGAGGAACGGUUGCAUGCCUGCACAACUUAAAAAUCUGCAGUUUGGGGGCGGGAGGGGGAGCGCGGGGGUGGGUCCCCACGCGUCCCAUUUCUCUUCCGGGCUGUUGGUUGUGUUUUCGCUCAGUGCCAGUGCAGGGAGGCCAGGCGUGUCUUCAGGACCACACGCUACCCUUGCAUAGGUCCUUGGUGGUUAAUUCAACCUUAGCUGGAGCCAUUUCUCGGUGACUUCCUCUCCCAUUUCCACUCGGUUCCUUUUUCCUUUCUUCAUAUGAGGUGCAUAUGCUUGGUGCAUAAGUCCAACCAUCUCUUCAGACUUGGUAAGUCGAGGAAAGGAACAAAACAUCUUGUUCCUCACUAUGUGUGAGUCUUCAGGGAGCGGGCGGUGGCAAACAGCGGCAGAAUCAGGGUCGUUUCCUCCUUCGUACUUUGUUGUAAAACAAGUUGGGGCCUCGUGACAGCUCAAGAAGACAGCUCAAGAAAACCCUGACAAUUUUGCGAAGUGUUGCGUUGGACACGACUUUCAAGAGGCAUUUUGCUUAGGCCACGAGAAAGGUCAUUUUUCUUCUUCUGGAUUGAGGUUCUCUCCGGGGAGUGCGCAGGGUGGGAGGCGUGGGACAUGACCUUGAUAUCCCUCUGGGGCAGGGCGGGACACUCCUGAGGAGGUGACUCUGCACUUGGGCCUGGGCCGGGAUGCAAGUCCCGCACUGCUGUGUCUGGGUCCAACCAUCCGUGCGUGAGGCUCGCCGUGGGACCCCCCUCAGUUUGCGGCGGUCCGUGCGCGAGCGCCGCGCCCUGGGCCGGGGGGGAACCCUGGCGGAGAGCUGCACGCCAGGCGGCGGGAGGAGCAGAGAGCAGCAGGGCGUUGACUGAGAGACUGGCCCCGCCCGGUCCCGCCCGCCUCCCGAGGCACCCAGCUCCGGCCGGGCGGGAUCCGCGGACUCGGCGACCCGUGCGGGCUAGCCCGCUCUCCUGCCGCUGCGGCGGCGGGCGCGGGGCUGCGCGGCGAGGCCGGAUCCCUGCAGCACGGACAGGCGGCGUCGCAGAACCCAGCCAGCCAGACGCGCCAAGACUCCCGACUCCUGCAGGUGAACUUGACUUUACAGCAACUGCUUUGACUUGGACAACCAGAGGGCCACAUUCUUCUCUUCUUUGAGCAAUAAAUGCCGGUGCACACUCCA